AACGAACGCUGGCGGCAUGCCUAACACAUGCAAGUCGAACGAGGCCUUCGGGUCUAGUGGCGCACGGGUGCGUAACGCGUGGGAACCUGCCCUUAGGUUCGGAAUAACUCCCCGAAAGGGGUGCUAAUACCGGAUAAUGUCUUCGGACCAAAGAUUUAUCGCCUUUGGAUGGGCCCGCGUUGGAUUAGCCUGUUGGUAGGGUAAAAGGCUACCAAGGCGACGAUCCAUAGCCGGGCUGUGAGGAUGGUCAGCCACACUGGGACGGGGAAACGGCCCCGACUCCUGCCGGAGGCAGCAGUGGGUAAUAUUGGACAAUGGGCGAAAGCCUGAUCCAGCAAUGCCGCGUGAGUGAUGAAGGCCUUAGGGUUGUAAAGCUCUUUUACCCGGGAUGAUAAUGACAGUACCGGGAGAAUAAGCUCCGGCUAACUCCGUG
rnacentral:rRNA from 1 species